UACGUAGGGGGCAAGCGUUGUCCGGAAUCAUUGGGCGUAAAGAGCGUGUAGGCGGCCCGGUAAGUCCGCCGUGAAAGUCCAGGGCUCAACCCUGGAAUGCCGGUGGAAACUGCCGGGCUGGAGUCCGGAAGAGGCGAGUGGAAUUCCUGGUGUAGCGGUGAAAUGCGCAGAUAUCAGGAAGAACACCCGUGGCGAAGGCGGCUCUCUGGAACGCAACUGACGCUGAGACGCGAAAGCGUGGGGAGCAAACAGG
rnacentral:rRNA from 1 species